AUGCUCACUUUAGCAGCACAUAUACUAAAAUUAGAACAAUACAGCAAAGAUUAGAAUGGCCCCAAUGAAAGGAUGACAUGCGCAUCUGUGCAAUACCAAUAUUUUUG